GCCAACCCUAGCCCAACACUCUCUUCCACAUAUAAUACCCAAUCAUAUAAAACAAACCAUUUACCAAUUACAAAAGUAUAGGUGAUAGAAAUUGGACUCUAGGCGCAAUAGACAUAGUACCGCAAGGGAAAGACAAAAUCCUAAAUAGCACAGAAAAGCAAAGACAAACCCUUUUACCUUCUGCAUAAUGAACUAACUAGAAAUAACUUUAUAAAGAGAACUUAAAUAAUGUCCCCCGAAACCAAACGAGCUACCUAAGGACAGCUAGAGAGCACACCCGUCUAUGUGGCAAAAUAGUGGGAAGAUCUUUAGGUAGAGGCGACAAACCUACCGAGCUUGGUGAUAGCUGGUUGUCCAAGACAGAAUCUUAGUUCAGCUUUAAAAUUACCUCCAGAAUUGCAUAGUCCUCAUGUAAUUUUAACUGUUAGUCUAAAGAGGUACAGCUCUUUAGACCCUAGGAAACAACCUUUAAUAGAGAGUAAAUCAUAUAAUAACCAUAGUUGGCCUAAAAGCAGCCACCAAUUAAGAAAGCGUUCAAGCUCAAUAUACACUUACUACUAAUUCUACUAACCACACUGAACUCCUCAAACAAAUUGGACUAAUCUAUUAUUCAAUAGAAGCAAUAAUGUUAAUAUAAGUAACAUGAAAUUAUUCUCCCCGCAUAAGCUUAUUACAGACCGGAACAACUACUGCUAGUUAACAGCCUAAUUAAAAUAUUCUAUAAAUUAAUUCAUCAAUUAACUAAACUGUUGACCCAACACAGGUAUGCAUUCAGGAAAGAUUAAAAAAAGUAAAAGGAACUCGGCAAACUUUACCCCCGCCUGUUUACCAAAAACAUCACCUCUAGCAUCUCCAGUAUUAGAGGCACUGCCUGCCCAGUGACACAUGUUCAACGGCCGCGGUACCCUGACCGUGCAAAGGUAGCAUAAUCACUUGUUCCCUAAAUAGGGACUCGUAUGAAUGGCCACACGAGGGUUUAACUGUCUCUUACUUUUAAUCAGUGAAAUUGACCUAUCCGUGAAGAGGCGGAUAUACCAAAAUAAGACGAGAAGACCCUAUGGAGCUUCAAUUCAAUAGUACAUACUAAUAUCUCUAAACCUACAGGCAAUAACCUAUCGUUAAUGUACUAUAAAUUUUGGUUGGGGCGACCUCGGAGUAUAACAUAACCUCCGAAAAUAGACACUAAGACCUCACUAGUCUAAGUAAAUACAUAAUAAUUGACCCAAUAACUUGAUCAACGGACUAAGUUACCCUAGGGAUAACAGCGCAAUCCUAUUUUAGAGUCCAUAUCGACAAUAGGGUUUACGACCUCGAUGUUGGAUCAAGACAUCCUAAUGGUGCAGAAGCUAUUAAGGGUUCGUUUGUUCAACGAUUAAAGUCUUACGUGAUCUGAGUUCAGACCGGAGCAAUCCAGGUCGGUUUCUAUCUAUUAAACAUUUCUCCCAGUACGAAAGGACAAGAGAAAUAGGGCCUACUUCAUAAAGCGCCCUCAAAAAUUAGAUGACUAACAUCUUAAUCUCACAUACUAUUACUUCACCCAAGAACAGGGCCU
rnacentral:rRNA from 1 species